rnacentral:rRNA from 1 species
AGCGAACGCUGGCGGCAGGCCUAACACAUGCAAGUCGAACGAUCCUUCGGGAUAGUGGCGGACGGGUGAGUAACACGUGGGAACGUACCUUUAGGUUCGGGAUAACUCAGGGAAACUUGAGCUAAUACCGGAUAAGCCCUUUUGGGGAAAGAUUUAUCGCCUUUAGAGCGGCCCGCGUUAGAUUAGCUAGUUGGUGAGGUAAAGGCUCACCAAGGCUCCGAUCUAUAGCUGGUCUGAGAGGAUGAUCAGCCACACUGGGACUGAGACACGGCCCAAACUCCUACGGGAGGCAGCAGUGGGGAAUCUUGCGCAAUGGGCGAAAGCCUGACGCAGCCAUGCCGCGUGAAUGAUGAAGGUCUUAGGAUUGUAAAAUUCUUUCACCGGGGACGAUAAUGACGGUACCCGGAGAAGAAGCCCCGGCUAACUUCGUGCCAGCAGCCGCAGUAAUAC